rnacentral:rRNA from 1 species
CUUUCUUUGCUGGCGACCGGCGCACGGGUGAGUAACACGUAUCCAACCUGCCCUUUACUCGGGGAUAGCCUUUCGAAAGAAAGAUUAAUACCCGAUGGCAUAAUGAUUCCGCAUGGUUUCAUUAUUAAAGGAUUCCGGUAAAGGAUGGGGAUGCGUUCCAUUAGGUUGUUGGUGGGGUAACGGCCCACCAAGCCUUCGAUGGAUAGGGGUUCUGAGAGGAAGGUCCCCCACAUUGGAACUGAGACACGGACCAA